GCCUAGCCCUGAUUGAAGUGGAAAUCCUUUUUAUUUUUUUCUUUAGAAAAUAAAAAGAUUGAAACGGAAAGCAGGAAAUAGC
rnacentral:sRNA from 1 species